rnacentral:sRNA from 1 species
CCUGCGCUGAGUUGGCACAACCGCUGCAUGGUCUCUGCCAAUGAUUCAUAACGCGCCGCCCUCAACGAUGAAGGCUGCGCAUCCCGAGAGAACGGGACCGGACAAAGGCGUCCUCGUCAGGCAACUGACGGGACGCC